rnacentral:rRNA from 1 species
UAUAAUGGGUCAGCGACUUAUAUUCUGUAGCAAGGUUAACCGUAUAGGGGAGCCGAAGGGAAACCGAGUCUUAACCGGGCGUUAAGUUGCAGGGUAUAGACCCGAAACCCGGUGAUCUAGCCAUGGGCAGGUUGAAGGUUGGGUAACACUAACUGGAGGACCGAACCGACUAAUGUUGAAAAAUUAGCGGAUGACUUGUGGCUGGGGGUGAAAGGCCAAUCAAACCGGGAGAUAGCUGGUUCUCCCCGAAAGCUAUUUAGGUAGCGCCUCGUGAACUCAUCUUCGGGGGUAGAGCACUGUUUCGGCUAGGGGGUCAUCCCGACUUACCAACCCGAUGCAAACUGCGAAUACCGAAGAAUGUUAUCACGGGAGACACACGGCGGGUGCUAACGUCCGUCGUGAAGAGGGAAACAACCCAGACCGCCAGCUAAGGUCCCAAAGUCACAGUUAAGUGGGAAACGAUGUGGGAAGGCUCAGACAGCCAGGAUGUUGGCUUAGAAGCAGCCAUCAUUUAAAGAAAGCGUAAUAGCUCACUGGUCGAGUCGGCCUGCGCGGAAGAUGUAACGGGGCUAAACUGUGCACCGAAGCUGCGGCAGCGACGCUUAUGCGUUGUUGGGUAGGGGAGCGUUCUGUAAGCCUGCGAAGGUGUCCUGUGAGGGAUGCUGGAGGUAUCAGAAGUGCGAAUGCUGACAUAAGUAACGAUAAUGCGGGUGAAAAGCCCGCUCGCCGGAAGACCAAGGGUUCCUGUCCAACGUUAAUCGGGGCAGGGUGAGUCGACCCCUAAGGCGAGGCCGAAAGGCGUAGUCGAUGGGAAACGGGUUAAUAUUCCCGUACUUGGUGUUACUGCGAAGGGGGGACGGAGAAGGCUAUGUUGGCCGGGCGACGGUUGUCCCGGUUUAAGCGUGUAGGUGUGUGUUCCAGGUAAAUCCGGUUCACUUUAACACUGAGGCGUGAUGACGAGGCACUACGGUGCUGAAGCAACAAAUGCCCUGCUUCCAGGAAAAGCCUCUAAGCAUCAGGUAACAUCAAAUCGUACCCCAAACCGACACAGGUGGUCAGGUAGAGAAUACCAAGGCGCUUGAGAGAACUCGGGUGAAGGAACUAGGCAAAAUGGUGCCGUAACUUCGGGAGAAGGCACGCUGACACGUAGGUGAAGU